UGGGGAAUUUUGGACAAUGGGGGAAACCCUGAUCCAGCAAUGCCGCGUGAGUGAAGAAGGCCUUCGGGUUGUAAAGCUCUUUCAGUUGAGAAGAAAUGAUUAUGGCUAAUAAUCAUAAUUGAUGACGGUAUCAACAGAAGAAGCACCGGCUAACUACGUGCCAGCAGCCGCGGUAAUACGUAGGGUGCGAGCGUUAAUCGGAAUUACUGGGCGUAAAGGGUGCGCAGGCGGUUAUGUAAGUCAGAUGUGAAAUCCCCGGGCUUAACCUGGGAAUUGCGUUUGAAACUACAUGACUAGAGUGUAACAGAGGGAAGUGGAAUUCCAUGUGUAGCAGUGAAAUGCGUAGAGAUAUGGAGGAACAUCGAUGGCGAAGGCAGCUUCCUGGGUUAACACUGACGCUCAUGCACGAAAGCGUGGGGAGCAAACAGGAUUAGAUACCCUAGUAGUCCCUGAGCGGGCUGGCAAGGCGCAU
rnacentral:rRNA from 1 species